CCUACGGGAGGCAGCAGUGGGGAAUAUUGCACAAUGGGGGGAACCCUGAUGCAGCGACGCCGCGUGGGUGAAGGAGUAUUUCGGUAUGUAAAGCCCUAUCAGCAGGGAAGAACAAUGACGGUACCUGACUAAGAAGCACCGGCUAAAUACGUGCCAGCAGCCGCGGUAAUACGUAUGGUGCAAGCGUUAUCCGGAUUUACUGGGUGUAAAGGGAGCGCAGGCGGCGCGUUAAGCCUGGUGUGAAAGUCCGCGGCGCAACCGCGGGACUGCAUUGGGAACUGGCGCGCUGGAGUGCCGGAGGGGUAGGCGGAAUGCCUAGUGUAGCGGUGAAAUGCGUAGAUAUUAGGAGGAACACCAGUGGCGAAGGCGGCCUACUGGACGGUGACUGACGCUGAGGCUCGAAAGCGUGGGGAGCAAACAGGAUUAGAUACCCUAGUAGUC
rnacentral:rRNA from 1 species